AUUGAACGCUGGCGGCAUGCCUUACACAUGCAAGUCGAACGGCAGCAUGAUCUCGCUUGCUAGAUUGAUGGCGAGUGGCGAACGGGUGAGGAAUACAACGGAACGUGCCCUGUAGGGGGGGAUAACGAGUCGAAAGAUUAGCUAAUACCGCAUACGACCUGAGGGUGAAAGUGGGGGACCGCAAGGCCUCAUGCUAUAGGAGCGGCCGAUGUCUGAUUAGCUAGUUGGUGGGGUAAAGGCCCACCAAGGCGACGAUCAGUAGCUGGUCUGAGAGGACGAUCCGCCACACUGGGACUGAGAAACGGCCCAGACUCCUACGGGAGGCAGCAGUGGGGACUUUUGGACAAUGGGGGCAACCCUGAUCCAGCAAUGCCGGGUGUGUGAAGAAGGCCUUCGGGUUGUAAAGCACUUUUGUCCGGAAAGAAAUCGCACUUACUAAUAUUAGGUGUGGAUGACGGUACCGGAAGAAUAAGGACCGGCUAACUACGUG
rnacentral:rRNA from 1 species